AGUGAACGCUGGCGGUAGGCCUAACACAUGCAAGUCGAACGGCAGCACAGUAAGAGCUUGCUCGUACGGGUGGCGAGUGGCGGACGGGUGAGGAAUACAUCGGAAUCUACUUUUUCGUGGAGGAUAACGAAGGGAAACUUACGCUAAUACCGCAUACGACCUACGGGUGAAAGCAGGGGAUCUUCGGACCUUGCGCGAUUGAAUGAGCCGAUGUCGGAUGGGCUAGUUGGCGGGGUAAAGGCCCACCAAGGCGACGAUCCGUAGCUGGUCUGAGAGGAUGAUCGGCGACACUGGAACUGAGACACGGUCCAGACUCCUACGGGAGGCAGCAGUGGGGAAUAUUGGACAAUGGGCGCAAGCCUGAUCCAGCCAUACCGCGUGGGUGAAGAAGGCCUUCGGGUUGUAAAGCCCUUUUGUUGGGAAAGAAAAGCAGCAGGUUAAGACCACGCUGUUCUGACGGUACCCAAAGAAUAAGCACCGGCUAACUUCGUG
rnacentral:rRNA from 1 species